AAGAAACUGUGAGAAAACUGCUUCAAGUUCUUUAUGUUCUUACCUAGCUGUCUGCCUACCCGGCUGAUCCUUAGCAAGCAGAAAGCUUGGGCUGGGACAUACUGUCAUCUAAAAAAAACCACUCAGUAUCUCUCUCUUUCUCUCUUCCCUUCCUUCUUCUUUUCUUUUCUCUCUCUCUCUUUUUUGAAGACUAUCGCAUUUACGUAAUCGUCCUCUUAUUAGGAAGAUUCUGCUGAACUGCUGACAAUGAUGUACAGUAGUGCUUCGCCGGUAUGACGUUUGGGGAAAACGAUUCUGCUGCACCACCACACAAAACCAAUUAGAGAACUAUUUUCUGCGACAGCUUGAACACUUCCUGCAGAGGUGAGGACCAGCUGUUGCUCCUAUCUGAUCACUACCUGGGGGUUUACGUAGAGCAAAUGGAUUCACCAGCCCAUGUCUUGGCAGAGAGAUGCACAUGAGGACUGACUCAGUGAAGAAGCUAGCUCUUCACACACAGAAAGGAAAACUCACCACCACUGCCUACACCUUCAUCAAGGUAAACUGACUGCAGCACUCAAUGGUGUGCUCAAAAUUUUGGGAAAAAAAGAGUUAAAAAGCAAUGCCUAGAUGCAGGAAAUACACUUUUGAGCACACCAAAAAAAGAAAAUUGUAUUUGUUCUUUCAAAAAGAGCAUAUGGCAAGGACUGACUAUAAUGGUGAUGUGUGACAAACUAGUAGAAAUGCUGAUGAGAACGAACCAACCAACCAGUGAAUAUUAAGGCUUCCCUCUCCCUCCUGAAAAAUGCAAUACUUAUACUGAAAGUAUUUUUGUCAAAAACUUCUGGGAUUUUCAAUAAAAAUGCAUUUCUUCUGUAA